rnacentral:rRNA from 1 species
AUUGAACGCUGGCGGCAUGCUUUACACAUGCAAGUCGAACGGUAACAGGCCUUCGGGUGCUGACGAGUGGCGAACGGGUGAGUAAUGCAUCGGAACGUGCCCAGAGGUGGGGGAUAACGCAGCGAAAGCUGUGCUAAUACCGCAUGUGAUCUGAGGAUGAAAGCGGGGGACCAGGCAGCAAUGUUUGGCCUCGCGCCUUUGGAGCGGCCGAUUUCCGAUUAGGUAGUUGGUGGGGUAAAGGCCUACCAAGCCGACGAUCUGUAGCUGGUCUGAGAGGAGGACCAGCCACACUGGGACUGAGACACGGCCCAGACUCCUACGGGAGGCAGCAGUGGGGAAUUUUGGACAAUGGGCGAAAGCCUGACCCAGCAAUGCCGCGUGAGGGAAGAAGGCCUUCGGGUUGUAAACCGCUUUUGUACGGAACGAAAAGGCUCUGGCUAAUACCUGGGGCUGAUGACGGUACCGUAAGAAUAAGCACCGGCUAACUACGUG